rnacentral:snRNA from 1 species
GAUAUUGUUCUUCCUAUGGGGUUGCAACAUCUUUAAAUACACUGACUAUCAGGCUCAAUCUGGCCGAUCUGGCUGGCAGUGGAGAUGUUCCCAUUCCUCCUACACAGCUCCAUGUGAAUUCCUCCUAAUGUCGUGCACUCAGUAGAAAGGACCACAGUCCUCAAGCAGAGGAGGACCAUCUCAAAAUCAUUAAGGGCCAUGAGUAGUAGCAUGCCCAGGCUAAACCUCCAAACAAGCUCUCAAGAAAUAGAUCUGUAAGAUACCUUGUGUAUUGUAGACUAUUAGUAAGGAGCAGUAUUGCUAGCUCAUAUUU